CAAUAGCGUAUAUUAAAGUUGUUGCGGUUAAAAAGCUCGUAGUUGGAUUUCGGCGGACAGGGGGCGGUUCGAUAUUUGUCGCUACUGCCCCAUUUGUCCGUGUUUUUGGCGGAGGUUUCAGGGUGCUCUUCACCGAGUGUCCUGGGAUGCCGUCAAGUUUACUUUGAAAAAAUUAGAGUGCUCAAAGCAGGCUUUACACGCUUGAAUAUUCGUGCAUGGAAUAAUGGAAUAGGACGUCGUUUCUAUUUUGUUGGUUUUCGGAAAUCGACGUAAUGAUUAACAGGGACAGUCGGGGGCAUUAGUAUUCAGACGACAGAGGUGAAAUUCUUGGACCGUCUGAAGACUAACUACUGCGAAAGCAUUUGCCAAGAAUGUUUUCAUUAA
rnacentral:rRNA from 1 species